rnacentral:tRNA from 2 species
AUAAUCUUAGUUUAUUAAAACAAUGGCUUGUGGUGCCAUAAAUCUAAAAAUUUUC